UAACUUUAUCAUUUUAAAUGACAAUGGUAAAUAAGCAAAAUCCUUCUACAAAACAAGUUACGUUAUUAUAAGUGUUCUUCGUGAAAUGAGUAUCUUAUAGACUUAUCAAUGUCACAAUUAUCCUCAUCGACCUGAGACAGUAGAGGGUUGCUAGGAUGUGUGACAUUGAAAAAGCCAUUUUACAUACACUUUAUCAUAUACAUGAAGGAGAAAUAUUUAGGCAAUGUGAAGCUAUACAGAAUAUUAAUUUGACAGAGCCUUUGCAAU
rnacentral:lncRNA from 1 species